rnacentral:rRNA from 1 species
CGAGCGUUAAUCGGAUUUACUGGGCGUAAAGCGUGCGUAGGCGGCUUCUUAAGUCGGAUGUGAAAUCCUGAGCUUAACUUAGGAAUUGCAUUCGAUACUGGGAAGCUAGAGUAUGGGAGAGGAUGGUAGAAUUCCAGGUGUAGCGGUGAAAUGCGUAGAGAUCUGGAGGAGUACCGAUGGCGAAGGCAGCCAUCUGGCCUAAUACUGACGCUGAGGUACGAAAGCAUGGGGAGCAAAACAGGAUUAGAUACCCUGGUAGUCCAUGCCGUAAACGAUGUCUACUAGCCGUUGGGGCCUUUGAGGCUUUAGUGGCGCAGCUAACGCGAUAAGUAGACCGCCUGGGGAGUACGGUCGCAAGACUAAAACUCAAAUGAAUUGACGGGGGCCCGCACAAGCGGUGGAGCAUGUGGUUUAAUUCGAUGCAACGCGAAGAACCUUACCUGGUCUUGACAUAGUAAGAACUUUCCAGAGAUGGAUUGGUGCCUUCGGGAACUUACAUACAGGUGCUGCAUGGCUGUCGUCAGCUCGUGUCGUGAGAUGUUGGGUUAAGUCCCGCAACGAGCGCAACCCUUUUCCUUAUUUGCCAGCGAGUAAUGUCGGGAACUUUAAGGAUACUGCCAGUGACAAACUGGAGGAAGGCGGGGACGACGUCAAGUCAUCAUGGCCCUUACGACCAGGGCUACACACGUGCUACAAUGGUCGGUACAAAGGGUUGCUACCUAGCGAUAGGAUGCUAAUCUCAAAAAGCCGAUCGUAGUCCGGAUUGGAGUCUGCAACUCGACUCCAUGAAGUCGGAAUCGCUAGUAAUCGCGGAUCAGAAUGCCGCGGUGAAUACGUUCCCGGGCCUUGUACACUCCGCCCACAUC